CUACGGGAGGCUGCAGUGGGGAAUAUUGGACAAUGGGGGAAACCCUGAUCCAGCAAUGCCGCGUGUGUGAAGAAGGCCUGCGGGUUGUAAAGCACUUUCGGUUGGGAGGACUGCUUCUAGCACUAAUAUUGUUGGAAGUUGACGUUACCUCAGAAGAAGCACCGGCUAACUCCGUGCCAGCAGCCGCGGUAAUACGGAGGGUGCAAGCGUUAAUCGGAAUUACUGGGCGUAAAGCGCGCGUAGGCGGCUAGAUCAGUCGGGUGUGAAAGCCCCGGGCUUAACCUGGGAACUGCAUCCGAUACUGGCUAGCUUGAGUACAGGAGAGGAGAGUGGAAUUCCACAUGUAGCGGUGAAAUGCGUAGAUAUGUGGAGGAACACCAAUGGCGAAGGCAGCUCUCUGGCCUGAUACUGACGCUGAGGUGCGAAAGCGUGGGGAUCAAACAGGAUUAGAUACCCCUGUAGUC
rnacentral:rRNA from 1 species